rnacentral:rRNA from 1 species
GAUGAACGCUAGCGGCAGGCCUAACACAUGCAAGUCGAGGGGCAGCACGAUUGAAGCUUGCUUCAAUUGGUGGCGACCGGCGCACGGGUGCGUAACGCGUAUGUAACCUACCUUAUACAGGGGCAUAACACUGAGAAAUUGGUACUAAUUCCCCAUAACACUUUAGAGGGCAUCCUUUAGAGUUAAAAGUUCCGGCGGUAUAAGAUGGACAUGCGUUGUAUUAGCUAGUUGGUGAGGUAACGGCUCACCAAGGCGACGAUACAUAGGGGGACUGAGAGGUUAACCCCCCACAUUGGUACUGAGACACGGACCAAACUCCUACGGGAGGCAGCAGUGAGGAAUAUUGGUCAAUGGACGCAAGUCUGAACCAGCCAUGCCGCGUGCAGGAUGACGGCUCUACGAGUUGUAAACUGCUUUUGUACGAGGGUAAACCUAGAUACGUGUAUCUAGCUGAAAGUACCGUACGAAUAAGGAUCGGCUAACUCCGUGCCAGCAGCCG